CCUACGGGGGGCAGCAGUGAGGAAUAUUGGUCAAUGGACGAGAGUCUGAACCAGCCAAGUAGCGUGAAGGAUGACUGCCCUAUGGGUUGUAAACUUCUUUUAUAUGGGAAUAAAAUGUUCCACGUGUGGGAUUUUGUAUGUACCAUAUGAAUAAGGAUCGGCUAACUCCGUGCCAGCAGCCGCGGUAAUACGGAGGAUCCGAGCGUUAUCCGGAUUUAUUGGGUUUAAAGGGAGCGUAGGUGGAUUGUUAAGUCAGUUGUGAAAGUUUGCGGCUCAACCGUAAAAUUGCAGUUGAAACUGGCAGUCUUGAGUACAGUAGAGGUGGGCGGAAUUCGAGGUGUAGCGGUGAAAUGCUUAGAUAUCACGAAGAACUCCGAUGGCGAAGGCAGUUCACUGGACUGCAACUGACACUGAGGCUCGAAAGUGUGGGUAUCAAACAGGAUUAGAUACCCUUGUAGUC
rnacentral:rRNA from 1 species